rnacentral:tRNA from 1 species
GGGUCACUAGCUCAGACGGUAGAGCACUUGACUUUUAAUCAAGUGGU